UACGAAGGGGGCUAGCGUUGCUCGGAAUUACUGGGUGUAAAGGGUGCGUAGGCGGGUCUUUAAGUCAGGGGUGAAAUCCUGGAGCUCAACUCCAGAACUGCCUUUGAUACUGAGGAUCUUGAGUUCGGGAGAGGUGAGUGGAACUGCGAGUGUAGAGGUGAAAUUCGUAGAUAUUCGCAAGAACACCAGUGGCGAAGGCGGCUCACUGGCCCGAUACUGACGCUGAGGCACGAAAGCGUGGGGAGCAAACAGG
rnacentral:rRNA from 1 species